UACGUAGGGUGCGAGCGUUGUCCGGAAUUAUUGGGCGUAAAGAGCUCGUAGGCGGUCUGUUGCGUCGGCUGUGAAAACCCGGGGCUCAACUCCGGGCCUGCAGCCGAUACGGGCAGACUAGAGUUCGGUAGGGGAGAUCGGAAUUCCUGGUGUAGCGGUGAAAUGCGCAGAUAUCAGGAGGAACACCGGUGGCGAAGGCGGAUCUCUGGGCCGAUACUGACGCUGAGGAGCGAAAGCGUGGGGAGCAACAGG
rnacentral:rRNA from 1 species